CCUCUUUCAGCAGGGACGAAGUUGACGUGUACCUGCAGAAGAAGCGCCGGCUAACUACGUGCCAGCAGCCGCGGUAAUACGUAGGGCGCAAGCGUUGUCCGGAAUUAUUGGGCGUAAAGAGCUCGUAGGUGGCUUGUCGCGUCGGGUGUGAAAGCUUGGGGCUUAACUCCAGGUCUGCAUUCGAUACGGGCUGGCUAGAGGUAGGUAGGGGAGAACGGAAUUCCUGGUGUAGCGGUGAAAUGCGCAGAUAUCAGGAGGAACACCGGUGGCGAAGGCGGUUCUCUGGGCCUUACCUGACGCUGAGGAGCGAAAGCGUGGGGAGCGAACAGGAUUAGAUACCCUGGUAGUCCACGCUGUAAACGUUGGGCGCUAGGUGUGGGGACCUUCCACGGUUUCCGCGCCGUAGCUAACGCAUUAAGCGCCCCGCCUGGGGAGUACGGCCGCAAGGCUAAAACUCAAAGGAAUUGACGGGGGCCCGCACAAGCGGCGGAGCAUGUUGCUUAAUUCGACGCAACGCGAAGAACCUUACCAAGGCUUGACAUCGCCCGGAAAGCUUCAGAGAUGGAGCCCUCUUCGGACUGGGUGACAGGUGGUGCAUGGCUGUCGUCA
rnacentral:rRNA from 1 species